rnacentral:rRNA from 1 species
GACGUAGGGCGCGAGCGUUGUCCGGAUUUAUUGGGCGUAAAGAGCUCGUAGGCGGCUCGUUGCGUCAACCGUGAAAACCCGGGGCUUAACUUCGGGCUUGCGGUUGAUACGGGCGGGCUAGAGUUCGGUAGGGGAGACUGGAAUUCCUGGUGUAGCGGUGAAAUGCGCAGAUAUCAGGAGGAACACCGGUGGCGAAGGCGGGUCUCUGGGCCGAUACUGACGCUGAGGAGCGAAAGCGUGGGGAGCGAACAGG